GACGAACGCUGGCGGCGUGCUUAACACAUGCAAGUCGAACGGAAAGGCCCUGCUUUUGUGGGGUGCUCGAGUGGCGAACGGGUGAGUAACACGUGAGUAACCUGCCCUUGACUUUGGGAUAACUUCAGGAAACUGGGGCUAAUACCGGAUAGGAGCUCCUACUGCAUGGUGGGGGUUGGAAAGUUUCGGCGGUUGGGGAUGGACUCGCGGCUUAUCAGCUUGUUGGUGGGGUAGUGGCUUACCAAGGCUUUGACGGGUAGCCGGCCUGAGAGGGUGACCGGCCACAUUGGGACUGAGAUACGGCCCAGACUCCUACGGGAGGCAGCAGUGGGGAAUAUUGCACAAUGGGCGGAAGCCUGAUGCUGCAACGCCGCGUGCGGGAUGACGGCCUUCGGGUUGUAAACCGCUUUCGCCUGUGACGAAGCGUGAGUGACGGUAAUGGGUAAAGAAGCACCGGCUAACUACGUG
rnacentral:rRNA from 1 species